UUAAUUAAAACCAAAGUUGAGGUAAAUUAUUGUUAAUAAUUUUUAUUAGAAUUAAAUUAUUCUAAUUAAA
rnacentral:tRNA from 1 species